CUGAUAGCGAUCACUUGCUGAGGCAUGGGUGUGUCCCGAGGUGGCCUAUCAGCUGUUUAAAGGACCUAUUAAAAGUGAGCUGGCUGACCACUAAUGGAGAGAGGCCCCACAUAUGAAGAGGAAUGCGUGAAGGCGAGUGUGGAAAAGAGGGACCAGCUGCCUGAUCGUAGCGUGCGACGGCUCAUUUGGAGAUGGACCGGUUCCGACAGCAGGGCAGAGGUGUACCUCUGCCUGCAUUUGUCAAUAGUGUCUCCACUGCUGUUCACCAGGUGCAGUCGUGUUGGGAGAGGGUCGCCAUGGCCAUUAGCCAGGUCAGCUUCCGGGACGAUGGUUCUGGCCAGUAAAUGUUUACUUAAAGGGCGAAUCCACGAGGGGAGCCGCGGUGGCAUCGAGCGACAGUGUGUGAGCUGGGCUGGUAUGUGACAAGCUAAGUGGAGGGACGAGACGGGGAUAGGAGGCUUCUCCUUGUCUGCCUGGGACAAGGCUGGCGUGGUCCCCGCUUUGGAAGAGGAAUUUUUGUCCUGCUCAUGAACACAUAAGGAACAUUCAUCCUGGGUUGUGGGUCAGUUGCAUCGUGGGACUGGGUGGGAUUUUAGAUGCAUGAAGAAAAUUGUUGUCAUAUUAGGCAAUUAGGCAGUUUCGUUGUAGCACUUGAUGGUCUUUGGGACUGCACUUGGGGACAGAUUCAGAGUUUUAGCAAUUUUCCAAACUGACUGACCUUCAGUUCUUAAAGUAACAAUGGACUGUCAUUUUUCUUCCUUUUUUUUUUUUUUUUUUUUUUAAAGCUUAGAGUUCAUAUUAUAGCAAGAAUCAAAUUUCAAAUAAUGCUGCCAGCUGUGUACCAACCUGACUUCUGUCCCAACCCCAUUAAAAAGGUCAAGAAAUUCCACAAAUCAACCCUGACAAGGCACACCUGUGAAGUAAAAACUGUGACUACAUCAUGAAUUCAUUCAAUUCAUUCAAUUCAUUGAGAAAAGGCCAAGGGUUUGCAGCACUGGCAACAAAGCAAAUGGUGGCUACUUAGAGGAUUCUCAAAUAUAAAACAUAUUUAGAGUUACUUAUCAAUUUUUUUUUCUUUGCUACAUUGUUCCAUAUAUCUUGUUUUAUAUAUUUGAUGUCUUUGGUAUGUGUCUACAGUUUAGAAAGUAGUAAAAAUAAAGAAAUGAGAAGGUUUGUCCAAACGUUUGACUGGUAGUGUAUAUUCGAAAACAUAACUCCUAUUUUGGAAUAUUGAAGAUGCCAUAGUGUGAUAUAGAUACGAAUAAAGCUAAUAUAAAGAAUAUAUCAUUAUAUGAUUUGUGUUUUCUUACUUCCCCCAGGGAAUAUAAAGGUAUUUACUUUCCUCAUUUCAGCAUAGACAAAUACAGUUAUAGUAAUAUUCAGUAAUAUUGUAG
ensembl:lncRNA